rnacentral:lncRNA from 1 species
UUCGAUACUUUAUAAUACAAAAAAUCAACAAACUUGCGAAUAGAAAUCAAAUUAAAUUCGUUAUUUAAAACGGCAACAGAUUAAUUCUAGUAAAACUUCCACCCAAUAAAACUACGAAUAAUCAACGUAAAGUUUAGAUUACAAUAUGGCUACUUCGAUGUCUCCUAUUCUUAAUGCUUAUGAUCAACACGUGCUAUUCCAUUCUUUUUAAUUCUCUGAUGCGUUCCUUAGCAAUCUUAGAAAGCAACAUGACAUUGCGCAAGAAAGAGUCGGAGUGCUUUCGACCACGUGGCGUUUAAACGCGUCAUUUUUCGAUACUUCUGUCAAUCUUUGAAUCAACGAAACAUCUUCAGUAAUGGUUCAUGACCGAGCGGCAUCUCAACACUAGAUCAAAUUUGAGAUCCCAUUCAUAAUUCGAUGGAUAUUCUAACAGUGCAUCACAUAUUCUACAAGAAUAUAGCCAUGUAACUUUAUAGAUUACUUAAACUACCACGUUUUAACUAGGCCACUAAGCAAUACUAUCAAAUGCCAUAAAUUCUACAAACAAUAUAAUGUCCGAUCUUAUACUAUAUACAACAAGAAUGAAGAAAGAAAAUGUCACCUGUGAAGGCGUUCUUCCACGCUUUUCUAACUCAAUUCUCUUCUCCAUCGAACCCAAACUUAGAUGUAUAGGAACAGACGACAGCAACAAAGUCCCACCAAGCACGUCUACUUGCAAAGUGCUGAGAAACGUUCGCCACAGCCGCACAACGGGAAGCGCGGCAACUCCAAUUCGCCCUCAGAGGGGUCUACUAUUGCUUAGUCGGUCGAAGUACGUGUACUUCUUCACCAGCAAGGCCGGGAAUUAUUCAUGAACGUGGAUUCAAAUCCACCAAUAGUAGUAUAGCAACAUCGACGUCAUCGGAGCGGCCGGCUAAACGGCAAUAAAGGACGAAAGAACGAAUACUAGUCAGCAUAGAGCCAUAGUGUCAAAAUGUACAGUACGGUAUCUUAUAUGUGGUCUACUUCACAGUACAGAUAUUGUUGCACUGUGUACUUUUUAUAUAAGCUCACACAAAACCUUCUGG